ACUUUCAGGCAAACAGGUGAAAAGGGAAAAUAGGUUCAGCUUUGGUUUUGCUGCAGCUGUUACAGAGGUAGUGUGCACCCCACCCUCCACCUCCCAAGCAGAAACAAUACCCGCCAAGCUCCUUCUCCAGGCUCAGCAUCUCAGCAUCAAGCCAUGAGAGCUUUGAACUGUGUCUGUGGGCAUCUGUGCUUUAUCUCCUCUUACUUUUGGCAUCUGUUAGCAAGACGUGUCCUAAGAACAUGAAGUUGAACUGUACAGGCUGUGAUGGAGGUAAGUGAGAAAGACCAACACAUGUGUGUCAGGAAACAAGGGGCAACGUGGAUGGCUGGCGGAAAGCGGGAUUCUUCCUCCCCUGUUUCUUCAAAUGGCCACUAGGUGAAUAGUGAGAGAGAACUCUCCUACUUCCUUGCCUUGGUUCUGCACUCAUGAAGUCUGGUUAUGAGUGGACAGCACCAAAUAUUAAUUGCACUUUCAAAGUAUAUAGAACAUCUUGGAAGACAGCCCUCCAAACUGUAAAAGUGUUGGUUUGCAGCUUCCAUCACAGCUGGAUCUUCUAAAGGCCAUCCUACCAUUUUUAAGAGAUCCUUACUGUGGAGUCCAUGGAUCACAGGUCCAUCAAUGAGCCAUGGGAUACCGGAGGUUCCAAGAGUCUCUGGAAGUCUAUGCAAAAUUAUAUGAAUAUGCAUUCAAGAAGAGAGAUUGCAGUUUGCAAACCCUAAGAUUAAUGACCACAAACAUUUAAGAAUUACUAUUAAAGUUUAAUUGCACCUGGAAAACCCACUGGAUUUGUACUUAUUUAACGCAAAGACAGAAAUAGGGCCCAAAGGUGUGUAGGAAUAGGAAUCUAGCUAAAAAGAUAUUAAGAGUUGUCGAAGGAAGCAUUAAGAGGGCCUGAUCUGAGGAUGACAGUGAAAACAGGAAGGAAAGAGUAAACGCAAAAGGCAUCUUUUAGACAGUCAGUCCCACCCUCCUGUGCUUUUUCCUGGAUGGGUUUUCAUGGAUGAGGGAUCCUCUUCCAUCCCCGGGUAUUUUUAGCA